rnacentral:rRNA from 1 species
GUGAGGAAUUUUCCGCAAUGGGCGAAAGCCUGACGGAGCAAUGCCGCGUGAAGGAUGAAGGCCUAUGGGUUGUAAACUUCUUUUCUCAGAAAAGAAUUAUGACGGUAUCUGAGGAAUAAGCAUCGGCUAACUCUGUGCCAGCAGCCGCGGUAAGACAGAGGAUGCAAGCGUUAUCCGGAAUGAUUGGGCGUAAAGCGUCUGUAGGUUGUUUAAAAAGUAUUCUGUCAAAGAUUAGGGCUUAACCUUAGAUAGGCAGAAUAAACUUUUAAGCUAGAGUUUGGUAGAGGCAGAAGGAAUUCCCGGGGGAGCGGUGAAAUGCGUAGAUAUCGGGAGGAACACCAAAGGCGAAGGCACUCUGCUGGGCCAAUACUAACACUGAGAGACGAAAGCGAGGGGAGCAAAUGGGAUUAGAAACCCCCAGUAGUCC